rnacentral:rRNA from 1 species
UGGCUGCAGCAAGGAAUAUUGUGCAAUGGGCGAAAGCCUGACACAGCGACGCCGCGUGGGGGAAGAAGGCCUUCGGGUUGUAAACUCCUUUUCCCAGGGAAGAAUAAUGACGGUACCUGGGGAAUAAGUCUCGGCUAACUACGUGCCAGCAGCCGCGGUAAUACGUAGGAGGCGAGCGUUAUCCGGAUUUACUGGGCGUAAAGAGGGCGUAGGCGGCUUUUCAAGUCGGAUGUAAAAUCUCCCGGCUUAACCGGGAGGGACCAUUCGAUACUGCUGGGCUAGAGUACAGUAGAGGGAGGUGGAAUUCCCGGUGUAGUGGUGAAAUGUGUAGAUAUCGGGAGGAACACCAGUGGCGAAGGCGGCCUCCUGGGCUGUUACUGACGCUGAGGCCCAUAAGCGUGGGGAGCAAACAGGAUUAGAUACCCUUGUAGUC